CCUACGGGUGGCUGCAGUGGGGAAUAUUGGACAAUGGGCGAAAGCCUGAUCCAGCCAUGCCGCGUGUGUGAAGAAGGCCUUCGGGUUGUAAAGCACUUUCAGUGGGGAAGAAAGCCUUGGGGCUUAUACCCUCGAGGAAGGACAUCACCCACAGAAGAAGCACCGGCUAACUCCGUGCCAGCAGCCGCGGUAAUACGGAGGGUGCGAGCGUUAAUCGGAAUUACUGGGCGUAAAGCGCGCGUAGGCGGUCUGAUAAGCCGGUUGUGAAAGCCCCGGGCUCAACCUGGGAACGGCAUCCGGAACUGUCAGGCUAGAGUGCAGGAGAGGAAGGUAGAAUUCCCGGUGUAGCGGUGAAAUGCGUAGAGAUCGGGAGGAAUACCAGUGGCGAAGGCGGCCUUCUGGACUGACACUGACGCUGAGGUGCGAAAGCGUGGGUAGCAAACAGGAUUAGAUACCCCGGUAGUC
rnacentral:rRNA from 1 species